rnacentral:rRNA from 1 species
UACGAAGGGGGCUAGCGUUGCUCGGAAUUACUGGGCGUAAAACGCACGUAGGCGGAUUGUUAAGUCGGGGGUGAAAUCCUGGAGCUCAACUCCAGAACUGCCUUCGAUACUGGCGAUCUCGAGUUCGGGAGAGGUGAGUGGAACUGCGAGUGUAGAGGUGAAAUUCGUAGAUAUUCGCAAGAACACCAGUGGCGAAGGCGGCUCACUGGCCCGAUACUGACGCUGAGGUGCGAAAGCGUGGGGAGCAAACAGG